GAGUUUGAUCCUGGCUCAGGAUGAACGCUAGCGGCAGGCCUAAUACAUGCAAGUCGAACGCUCAGUAGCAAUACUGGGAGUGGCGCACGGGUGCGUAACGCGUACACAAUCUACCUCUAAGCGGGGGGACACCUCCUGGAAACGGGGAUUAAUACCGCAUAAUAUGCCGAGGUCGCAUGACUUUGGUAUUAAAGCAGCAAUGCACUUAGAGAUGAGUGUGCGUCCCAUUAGGUAGUUGGUGAGGUAACGGCUCACCAAGCCUAUGAUGGGUAGCCGGUCUGAGAGGAUGGUCGGCCACACGGGCACUGAGACACGGGCCCGACUCCUACGGGAGGCAGCAGUAAGGAAUAUUGGUCAAUGGUGGAAACACUGAACCAGCCAUGCCGCGUGGAGGAAUAAGGUCCUACGGAUUGUAAACUCCUUUUGACGAGGAAGAAAGUGUUAGAUUUAUCUAAUUUUGACGGUACUCGUAGAAUAAGCACCGGCUAACUCCGUG
rnacentral:rRNA from 1 species